CCGAAUGAUCCAAUGGGUCAAUAAAUUCGGUCAUAGACUCGACCUGACCCGAUCUGAUCCGAUUUUUUAUUGAGAUGGGUAUGGGUCCAAUAUCAAGAUCCAAUAAAAAAAUUAGAUCGGAUUGGGAUCACUCAACCUGAUCCGAUCCGACCCAUUUGCAGGCCUAAUGCUUGUGAAUUUGAUAAAAAAUGCUUCAUAUACUUACCGAAAGAUAUGGAUUUUUGCUCAAAUAUACUUAUUGGAAUCGCCUGGUUCUCCUAAACUUGUAAAGGAACUAGCUAGCAGACUGGUUGGCCAUGAGACGAGCAACAUAAGUACUGUAUACGUUGGCUUCUAGUGGUCGUGUCCGCUUGAUCGAUUAUGUUGGAUCGAGGUACCGAUCUUUUGAACAAUAAUAUUAUGCAUCUCUUGUCCUAUUAGAUUUUUUUUCUAAAGAUAAAAGAAAACAGAAUUU
rnacentral:lncRNA from 1 species